CAAGCCUUGAUAUGAUUGAGAUAACAGAUUUUGCUUUUACAUGCAAUUUAAAAUAUAAAUUUACAUAAUGAGAUCGGACAUUUCUAUGCUUUUAACUCUUAGAAGAUAAAAUAUAAAAUGAUUGAACAUAGCUUAUGAUGCCGUCCUUAAAAACUUAACAAAUUGCAAGAUCAGCUGAACCAAUCUAUCCUUCAAUAUGAUCCACCCCCCCCCCAAUAAAAAAAAAUAUAAAUAAAAAAUUUAAAAAUAUGAGAAAUACAAUGUUAUAAAUGGAAGAGUCCAUUUAGCAAUUGGAGAACCUUUAAAUGUGAAAAAAAUGUACAAAAUGUGGACAGAUACUGAAGAUUAUUUGAAAGUUUAGGCAAAGUCCAUUUAAUCUUUUAUUUGUGGUUGGAAGUUGUAGAUGGAUGAGAACACAGAUGAUAAACUUGCUUACAAUGCCACAUUUCCUAAUGGAUAAUACAGUCUAUUGGUACAGGAUUUGCUCAUUGUUGAGGGCUGUGUGGUGACUGAUAGUUGUUAAAUUCUACAUCAUUUGGUAUGUGGAAGAGUUGUCUCAUUUAACUUUGGCAAUCUUACCACAUCUUAUUUUUGUUUAUCAAAUAAUAACUUGGUCCUAGUGAUCUCCUUCCUGAAUAAGGACUAGUUCUAAAAAAUUUAAAAAAAAAAUAUAUUUACAUUUACAACUUCGAUAUAAAAUUUACUUUGCUCAGAAAUAGGGUGAACGUAUGAGGAAAUUUUAAUAUAAUUUAAGCGCUUGGGAUUUUAAAUGUCUAAUGAAAUGCAGUUGGUAACCUACUAGUUUUUGAACAGCUCAAGAUAUUUAGUUUAUUUCAAUAACCUAGUAAACAAGUUGAGUACACCUCGAAAGUAAAUGGGAUUCAUGUAUUUUUAUGCCUUUUAAAUUGUAGUACAUGUAUUUACCAUAGUUUUUCUGUGUUACAUUUUUAAAUUCCUUUUUCAAAAGUAUGAGAUAACCUGAAGAUUCAGAUUUUACAGGAUUCUUAAAAAAUGCAUUUUAAGUUUGGUGAUAAGUAAUGUUAAGCCUCAAGUUUAAUAUUGAGCAAAAAAAUAUUCUUACAUAAUACCUUAGAAAUGAUAUCAAAAGUUAGUACAUGUUUCUCAGAACAGAAUUGAUUUUCUUAAACAGCCAGUCUGGGAACUGGAAUCAAGAAUUUAGAAAAAGAAUCCUCAGCGCUGUCAUUUAUUUAGUAAAAUUGUAAUAUUUAACCAAUGUUACCAUACCCAUGAUGCAGAUCCUCUUCCUCCUUUUACUUGUAAAGGGGACUAAAACUUAUUAUUACAAUUUCUUUGGUAUUUGUACACACUUGAAGGAGCAGAAUGGGUUUGGUUUCAUUUGGGUAUUUUAUAUUAUGAUGCAUGAUAAUGAUAUAAAUAAAUU
rnacentral:lncRNA from 1 species